UUCAGAAGAGCCAGCCCUGCUGCUGGGAGUCAGCAGUGGUGGAAAACCGAGAAGAAUUCAGCAAGGAGAUGGUGCUGUCACUUGGAAAAGGCGUGUGGAUUUUCUGAGCUGUCAGCCCUGCUCACACCUCUUGGAGAUGUGGGCUGGAUUACUCAGCCAUAGAACUACUGCAGCAAAAAAAAUUGAAGCCCAGCACCAGGAUGGAUCAAGGGAUCUCAGUGGCUUUGGGAUGCAGCUGCUCUGGGUGCAGCAGAAAGAGGAAAGCAGGUGCUGGGGUCUGACCUUGCUGGACUCCAGAUUUCUUUGGCAGCACCUUCUGGAGUGGGGAGAGCAAGUGGGUGUCAAAGCAGCUGUCUGCAUCCUGGGAGGUUUUUUGGGGUGGUGCUGGGGGGGUCAUCAGAUGGAACCCCCAUCCUCCAGCCCAGCCAGCACCCCACACUCACCCCCAGCCCCUGCCAAAGGCCAGCAGCCAGCAGAGUAAAUCCUUUUCAUUUGGAUCCCGCUGACACAAAUAACUCCAGGUCUUGGGCUGAAACAUCAGCAAUCACCUCUUUCCACUGCCAGCUGGCAUGGCAAGCUAAUUUUAACCUCCCAAGCUCCCUCCCAUCUCCUGGAGGUUGUCCUGUUGCAGCCAGGGAGUGCUAGAAAAUAGUGCAUCGCCCACUCAUCCAGCCUCCUUCAAGGGAAAUAUUUAUAUGAUGCCAAAGAGAGGGUUUCCAUGGCAGUGAUGACUCUAGCACUGUCGCCUUGGAAACCACUUGAGGCCAUCUUGAAGGGUUUGAAAAUCCCCUUCAGAGACAAAUAAGGAGAGGGAGAGGAAAGGCCACUGGGAUCAGAGUAUCAAAGAGGUGACUUUCCUGUCAGCUCCUUGCCUGCUCCAGCUGCCUGGGUCCCUGCCCACGCCACUGGGAUGAUUUGCAGUUCAGGUGUGGCUUCGUGGAUAGACUCAGCACAAAGGAAUGAAGUGCUUUGCAAACAGAAAUGGUUCGGUCACGGUUUCCAAACCAUCCAGCAGUGACUCAGGUGCUCCAGAGGGGCUUCAGGGAGAUUCUGGGGUGAUUAUCAGCGCCUGCCCACCUUCAAGCACCAGCUGCUUUUGGAGCAGCAAACACACAAGUUCCACGUCUUUGACAGCCCGAGUCAUCACACAUGAAGAGCCUCGUGCUUCUCCUGAGGAGCUGCCAAAAUGCGAGCACAGGCGAGAGGCGGCUGCCGCAGCAGGAGCGGUGGAAGGAGCGCCCCUGUGUCAGCCCGCAUCCCGCUCCAGCCGGCCCCACGCCUUUGGCCAUUUAUGUCCCAGCCUGCAGGAGCUCUGUCACCGGCAGCCAGCCCAUCUGGCUCUCAAGGACACCAAGAAGCGGCAGGGAGAGCAAAGCUUUCCGAGCAGAUGGGUGAUGAGCUCCACAAUGCAGCCAGUGCUGCUGCUUGCUCAAGCUAAGGGAAUGUUUUCUUUGGGGUUUUGCUGAAAAAUAUUAGUUACCGUCUUCAUUUUGUUUAGGGCCAUCUAAAAUAUUUUCUUCUUUCUCCCUGAGCUGCCAAAGUCAGUGACUGUCCAAGCCUGGCAUCCAUGCUUUGCUCUGCACAUCUCCCCUCAGCCCUCCAAAACCCAGCCAGCUUCCCCACAGAGAAACACCCGUGCAGUGCUCAGUCCCUCAGCCUACACCCAAGAGAGGGUCUGGCCACAGUGCAGUACCAGGUUAAGUCACACCUCUCCAUCCUGCUGCCUGCUCCUGCCUGCACCUCGAGGGUGCCAGGACAGCACCCAGUCCACUCUUGACCCGCAGCAUGUGAAAAUCCUCGAUUAUAUUAAUGCAGCUUCUCAUGUCUGCAAUGUGAAACACACGGGUAUGAGGCCAGGGAUGUUUGGCUUUGCCCGGGGGUGAGCUCCUAGCAGGCUGUGUGUCACAAAAUUCAUGCCUGGCCCACGCUGACCAAAGUGCCAGGUUGGGAUGCAAAGCUUGGAAUUACAAGUGUAAAUAUUUAUUAAUGAUUGUGAGAUAUCCCAGCCAAAUCAGGGCACCUAGAUGUGUGGUGUUUUUUUUUUUUUUUAUGGAGUUCUUACAUCCAUCAAGCAUUCAGGUAAAACAGGAGUUGACUGAGCACUGAGACCCACACUAACAGAUCUCCAAUCACAGGAAAAUUUGGCAAAGCUGCUGUUUCUGCCUGUCUAUAGAUCCAGGUGUCCUUGAGCCCCUCUGGCUGCAGGGACUGACCUGGGACACCAGACAAGGCUGGGAGGCUCUCAGAGCCGGGAUGCUGUGGUACCUUGGUCAUCCCAGGGAUAAAGCUGUUCUUUGUCCCUCAGGAGCUGCUCUAAGCCUCCCAAAAGCAAAGUCCUUCUCUCCAGGGCCGGGCUAUUUGUUUUGCUCCAGCACGAACAAUACCGAAAUCUUCAAUAAAACUCCACUCCCUCAUCA